AUGGCUCAACUAUGCAACUUAGUGCACAUUGGGAGAUACAUAACACUGAUUCUUACUGUAGCAUCAGGUGGUUUUGCAGAUGAAAUUGGACCAACAGAUACCAACAUUAUCAGCAAAGAAACAGAGACUGUUACUCUAAAAUGUUCAUAUCAGUCCAGCAGCAGCAACAUUUGGCUUUACUGGUACAAACAAAAUCCUAACAGCGCACCACAGUUUUUACUGUAUAAAGGUGCCAAAUAUCGUAGUGAUGAGGAGCGCAAACCUACUGACUCUCGAUUAGAGUCAAACACAGGUGAUACAUCUACUGAACUCACCAUUAACAAUCUAAAGCUGACAGAUUCUGCUCUCUAUCACUGUGCU